rnacentral:rRNA from 1 species
GAUGAACGCUGGCGGCGUGCCUAAUACAUGCAAGUCGAGCGAAUGGAUUAAGAGCUUGCUCUUAUGAAGUUAGCGGCGGACGGGUGAGUAACACGUGGGUAACCUGCCCAUAAGACUGGGAUAACUCCGGGAAACCGGGGCUAAUACCGGAUAACAUUUUGAACCGCAUGGUUCGAAAUUGAAAGGCGGCUUCGGCUGUCACUUAUGGAUGGACCCGCGUCGCAUUAGCUAGGUGGUGAGGUAACGGCUCACCAAGGCAACGAUGCGUAGCCGACCUGGGAGGGGGAUCGGCCACACUGGGACUGAGACACGGCCCAGACUCCUACGGGAGGCAGCAGUAGGGAAUCUUCCGCAAUGGACGAAAGUCUGACGGAGCAACGCCGCGUGAGUGAUGAAGGCUUUCGGGUCGUAAAACUCUGUUGUUAGGGAGGAACAAGUGCUAGUUGAAUAAGCUGGCACCUUGACGGUACCUAACCAGAAAGCCACGGCUAACUACGUGCCAGCCGCCGCCGUAA